CCUACGGGAGGCAGCAGUGGGGAAUUUUGCGCAAUGCUCGUAAGAGUGACGCAGCGACGCCGCGUGAAUGACGAAGGCCUUCGGGUCGUAAAGUUCUUUCGACAGGGAAGAAAAUGCCUAUAAGUAACUGUGUAUGUAUUGACGGUACCUGUAUAAGCAGCCCCGGCUAACUCCGUGCCAGCAGCCGCGGUAAUACGGAGGGGGCGAGCGUUGUUCGGAGGGACUGGGCGUAAAGAGCACGUAGGCGGUGUUGUAAGUCAUUAGUCAAAGACUAGAGCUCAACUUUAGUAAGGCUAGUGAUACUAUAAUACUAGAGUAUCAGAGAGGAUUGCAGAAUUCCUGGUGUAGCGGGGAAAUGCGUAGAUAUCAGGAGGAAUACCGUUAGCGAAGGCGGCAAUCUGGCUGGAAACUGACGCUGAGGUGCGAAGGCGUGGGUAGCAAACAGGAUUAGAUACCCCAGUAGUC
rnacentral:rRNA from 1 species